rnacentral:lncRNA from 1 species
UCAAAUCUUUAUAUUAUAUCCACUGGAAGGGCUUCUAUAGGGCACUCUGUUAUGUUUCAAUGCCAUAAAGAGAGCCAUUUGUCAUGUAUUUUCCAUGCAAAGAGCUCCAGAGGGGGUAUUUCAUAAUGUUGUCAUUAUUAGAGCAUUCAAGAGUCCACUUCAGCUGUGUUUUUUCAGACAGACAGCAGGGAGGCUGACCACCAAUCAGAAGGAGGCUGGCUUGUAAGUAUUGUAAGUAAAUGGCCAUUUUAACCCUUUGUCAUCAGUGCACCUGCACAUAUCAGUACUUUUAACAGACAUUUUGUACGACUGAGUUCUCAGCUCAUCAGAGAAAGAACAAUGGAAAAGAAAAUGUGAUUCAUCCUCAUCUUCAGUCUGUGUUCCUCCUCUGUGUUUCAAAAUCUGCUGACUUUAAGAGCAAGAGGAAGGAUUUCUGUUCUCAACCGAGCAGCUGAAGACCUCUGACUUUUGGUUAGAUUUGCUCUUACAUAAGCCUCAGUGCCAUCGCUGUGCCUGAUUUGAAUAUAUCCUCUUCAUUUGAAUCUGAACAAAAUCUCGUUUAACUAGUUUUCCUCAAACCUAGCAGGUAACUUCCUCCUGACUGUGUUCACUCUGCAGAGUAAAUUAUUUCAGUACAUAAAGAGAAUUCUGUUUUCUUCAAAGUAGAAUAGAGCUCUAUAGCCCAGGGAGAGGUCUGCAGUUCACUCUUCUUUUUAAUCCUUUCUUCUGACAUAUUUAGUAUUUGAUUCCACAGUCUGAUAAUUUCACAUUGUCUCUUUAUUGAUCCAGGAACAUAACCCAUGAUGCCCUGAGCAGCUACAGAGGGAGUAAAUUAAUAAAUAGUCUACUUUAAGAACAACUUUUGAGCGCUUACUUUCUUUGUAUUCCUGCAGAAUCAUUCAACAAAGGAUAUACAUAUGCACCAAACAAUUAUGUGUAGGUGUAAUAACCAACAUCUUUCAAAUUUAGGAAAGGCAAGACAAGAGCAGAGCAACCAUAGACUUCAUAGACUUUACCAAUAAGAACAAUUAACUGACAUGUCAUCAUCCUUUUUUAACGAUGUUCAAAUUUAUAGUGUAUCCACAUCACUAGUCCUGUGACUGAAACUUGUUUGAAGAAAAUAUUGUCCCGUUAAACAUUUGUUUAUCAUGCUUUUAUUUUGAUCUCUUUUCUGGUUUAUUUCUAGUAUGGUGAAAUCGUGCUUUUCUUUUGAAGGACAUGCUACUUCCGGUAAGCCGACAGUCGCGAAUCUGAGUGAAAACGAUUUAAAAGAACGGUAAGAACAUGUAAAUUAUUGCUUGAUUAGAGGAGAAUAUAUUCUGAUAUUGUUUUUACAGUCACAAUUAAUCUUUGAAUUUCAGUUUUGAAAAAGUCCCGAGUCAUCCCUCAGAGAGCUGCUACAAGCUAGCUUGCUAACUGCAGUUGUUUCUGAGCAUAGACUGUAUUUACUAUGGACAACUUGGUCCCGCCUUCCGCCAGAUUUGAAGCCAAAAAGUUCUCGGUAAUUCCGUGUUUCUUUUCCCAUUUCCUGAAACCAACAUUGCGCAGUAGCGUUGUACGUAUUCGGCGGGAGAGUCGCUGUAAUGACGCUCGGUUCAAACAGCGUAUCCCCCUGGUGAG